CCUGGAAACUUAGACGGCAGGAGCCGUUAGAGGGCAGCAUGGGCCCAUGCAUAACUCAGCAGGCUCCUUUUUCACUCACAGGGCGUCUGGGAGCACAGGCACUAGCUGCCACAGAAAAACAAGUCAGAAAGGCAGAGGGGAGGGUGGGAGACAGAAACCUCCCUCCAAGCCCUGCUGUGCCAGUGAAACGCUGCUCUUGGGAAGGCCAGGCUGCGUGUCCCAGCACAUGCCAGGGGUAUGCACUGAAGAGACACAGGCUCCGGAGAGAAGCCACACCUCCUGCCCCCUUAGACAAGUGUGAUGGCUCCGUGGCCUCUGGGCAAGGAAGCCAGAGUGAGUGCCCAGAGCCCUGAACAGAGACGGGUGUGGGAGACGUCAGGCGGGCACUCUGCCCUUUGUGUCACUUCACUCUUCAGCCUCUGGAGCGAGAGGACAAAGGAGCACCUUGAUGCUGGCAGACACUGGGGGCACGGCUGGGUUUUACAAGGAAGGACGAAAUCUGAUUCCCCCAAUCAGAAUAGAUCAUCUUUGCCUGUCUAUGAGGUGACCCAGUUCUGAGCACAGUGCUUGGCUCUGAACAGAUGUGUAUCACACUCCCAGCUUGCAACCUGGGCCUUGCCAGAGAGGUAAGAACAUGGCAUCCUUCCACGGGACAAAUUCGAGAGCUGGCUCUUGGGCAUCCCUUGCAAGGGCAGCUCUGCAUCUCAAAGGACUCCUGGCAACAAGGACUGGCCUUUGUCCCGCCUCCCACAGCACACCUUUUCUGACUCACCCAGGCAGCUCACCCCAGGGGAGGGCUGAAAAGGAAAACCUGGAGCAGUGGAAUGGGCCACACCGCAGUCCAGCCCCCAAGAGGCAGGGAGCAAAGCGGACCCCUGCAAUCUUAUCCUUCAUGUUUUCCCACAAGCUCUCCGGGACAGCUCUGAUUCAUGAUGCCAUGGAGGUGGGAAGAUCCAGCCCCAACGUCCUGGGAAGAUUCAAGUGUGAAGCAGAAGGUAGCAAGUGACCAGACUCCCAGCAUGGAGCUACCACCUCAUGCACAGGCCCCAGUUCUUGCUCGCUUCUCCUGCCUGAGACCUGCCCUGGCCUCAGAACAGCAGCGAGGCCCUGCACUGCGUGGUGCUGUGGCUCGGUGUGCUGCUAUGCCUGAUGUUUCUUUAUGGAGCGAUUACUGUUCAUUGAGGAUCAUUUGCAUGUAUUCCCUUCUGAAACUCUACCGAUGAAAAGCCAGGCGCAGGGCCUGAGCAGGCUAAUUCCGCCCAGCAAAAGGACACAACUGCUCUGUUCCUUUGGAACUCCUCUUGUCAGGCCUGCUGCUACACCUUUCCUGUGCAGAGACCACAGACGUCCCUGCCCCUGUGGUCUGUAGCCACACAGAGGAGACCAUCCAACUCCCCUCCGGCCCUCCCACAUCUGCAUUAACUUUAUGCCAGUAAAUAUUCUCCUGA